rnacentral:rRNA from 1 species
UACGGAGGGGGCUAGCGUUGUUCGGAAUUACUGGGCGUAAAGGGCGCGUAGGCGGCUCUUUAAGUCAGGCGUGAAAGCCCUGGGCUCAACCUGGGAGUGGCGCUUGAUACUGGAGGGCUAGAGAGUGGGAGAGGUUGGUGGAAUUCCCAGUGUAGAGGUGAAAUUCGUAGAUAUUGGGAAGAACACCGGUGGCGAAGGCGGCCAACUGGACCAUUUCUGACGCUGAGGCGCGAAAGCGUGGGGAGCAAACAGGAUUAGAAA